AGGCAUUUACUGAAUGGCAGCGCAAGGCACAUAAAAGAGAGGAAAAAAUGUCAGGUAGGGCCCUCACCUGUUUCUCAGUGUGCUAAAUUGCAGAAAGCCGAUCCCGAACUGGACUCUGCCCCACCUCAACACCCACAGCCAGUAGGGAGGGAGGAACCUGCAGUUUCAGAGGCACCUCUUCACAAUGAGGCGGCCCAGCCUAUGCCACUCUAUCAGAAACUGUCAGAACUUAGCCACCAACCCCCACCAAACUAUGCUCACGUUACACAUGAGAUUCCAUGUGAAGGGACCAAAAACGUUGCUGCCUGAGGGCUUCAGACCAACAAAAUUGGACAGAGAAUGUACAGUGCACGCCGUGUUAGAUGCCCCAAUGCUAUAAGUGGCCGGAGAAGAAGGCCCUAUGCUAGUUCACAGACCUUGGACAUUGGAAGACAUCAGGAGCAGCAUGACGCAUCUGCCGGCUCUCCGUGAAGUAGGCGGAUGAAAGUUUGGGGAUGAACUUCAGAUAUUUUGCAGAGAAUUCAGACCCACCACUCAUGAACUAAGACGACUGCUCAUGGCGAAACUUAGCACUGACUGGGUUAAGGUUUCACCUGAAUUCCCAGAGAACGAUGUCCACCUGAUCAACCCACAGUGGGAUGAUGAAGUCAACGCAAGGUACAGAGCACAAAUCGCGGCGCUCCAGCAGAGGCUGACGAACACCUUUCCUGUGGGAAUGGACAUGACAAAAAUAGCGAUGUGUAAACAACAAGACUCAGAGACUGUAUCACAGUACAUGUCCAGGCUCACUGAGAUCCAUGAUGCAAACUCAGGCUUGCAGAAACCCGACGCUCUGGCAGAUGUGCAGGCGGCCGUCACAGCAUUGGAGGCACAUCUCAGAAACAGCUUUAUGCAUGAAAGCAGAAAUUGCCGCUAUAAUCAAACAACAAUGUGUAGCCCAGGCUUAAUAAUGAGAAACACUAUUUAGCUGUCUAACCAAGUCACAAAAGUGUUAACAUUGAUUUUCUUGUUAUCUUUGAUUGAUUUGUAAGUGCGCAAAUGGGUGAACUCUAUGAGGCAGUGAGCUGACCAAUCAGCUGCCAGCUAGGCUCUGCUACAGUUACACCUCUAGGUUAGUGUCUCUGCACGUUCUUUUGGUGCUUGCACCUGAGUAUAGGAGGUUGCGUUAUCCACUUGAGAGUAAAAGAGAGCUGUGCGUGAAUCCACUGUCACGGAGCUAAAGGCAGUGAAUUCUGCUAAAAUGGUCAGGUUUUGGUAAAGAGUUGGAAACAUCGUGCGGAGAUCCUUUCCACGGAAUGAUACAAAUCCUCACGUUCCAGGCGUUCUUUCAGAGAUUCGUAGAUUCCCAGUCCGGGUGUGUUUGUGACUGACUUUAGACGGAUUGCCAGGCUCUUCAUCUUCAUGGUGGUAGGACAAACACUAACACGAACUAAAAAGGGCCCAGCGUUGGUAACUGAACUCUUGUCAACAAAGUGAAACUGAGGACAAACUGAGCUCAAGGGAAUUUAAAAGAGGAUUUAUUUACGUGUGCACUUUAUUAUUUUAGUUUGUUAUUUUUUCAUAACUUUUUGUAUAUGUAUGUACCAGCCCUGUGUAUGUAAUACAUUUUAUGCAAACUGUCA